AUUGAACGCUGGCGGCAGGCCUAACACAUGCAAGUCGAACGAGUGGCGGACGGGUGAGUAAUGUCUGGGAAACUGCCCGAUGGAGGGGGAUAAAUACUGGAAACGGUAGCUAAUACCGCAUACCAUCGGAUGUGCCCAGAUGGGAUUAGCUAGUAGGUGGGGUAAUGGCUCACCUAGGCGACGAUCCCUAGCUGGUCUGAGAGGAUGACCACCGCGACUGGAAAUGAGACACGGUCCAGACUCCCACGGGAGGGAGCAGUGGGGAAUAUUGCACAAUGGGCGCAAGGCGGAUGAAGCCAUGCCGCGUGUAUGAAGAAGGCCUUCGAGUUGUAAACUACUUUCAGCGGGGGGGCGUUACCCGCAGAAGAAGCACCGGCUAACUCCGUGCCAGCCGCCGCGGUAAUUC
rnacentral:rRNA from 1 species